rnacentral:rRNA from 1 species
UACGGAGGGUGCAAGCGUUAAUCGGAAUUACUGGGCGUAAAGCGCGCGUAGGCGGUUAGUUAAGUCAGCUGUGAAAGCCCUGGGCUCAACCUGGGAACUGCAGUUGAUACUGGCCAACUAGAGUGCAAGAGAGGGAGGUAGAAUUCCACGUGUAGCGGUGAAAUGCGUAGAUAUGUGGAGGAAUACCAGUGGCGAAGGCGGCCUCCUGGCUUGACACUGACGCUGAGGUGCGAAAGCGUGGGGAGCAAACGGG